rnacentral:rRNA from 1 species
AGAGUUUGAUCAUGGCUCAGGACGAACGCUGGCGGCGUGCUUAACACAUGCAAGUCGAACGGUGACCUCGGAGCUUGCUCCGGGCGAUCAGUGGCGAACGGGUGAGUAACACGUGAGUAACCUGCCCCAGACUCUGGGAUAACCCCGGGAAACCGGAGCUAAUACCGGAUACGACACGAAGAGGCAUCUCUAUCGUGUGGAAAGUUUUUCGGUCUGGGAUGGACUCGCGGCCUAUCAGCUUGUUGGUGAGGUAACGGCUCACCAAGGCGACGACGGGUAGCCGGCCUGAGAGGGCGACCGGCCACACUGGGACUGAGACACGGCCCAGACUCCUACGGGAGGCAGCAGUGGGGAAUAUUGCACAAUGGGCGAAAGCCUGAUGCAGCGACGCCGCGUAGGGGAUGAUGGCCUUCGGGUUGUAAACCCCUUUCAGCAGGGAAGAAGCGUGAGUGACGGUACCGGUAGAAGAAGCACCGGCCAACUACGUGCCAGCAGCGGCGGUAAUAC